UACGUAGGGUGCAAGCGUUGUCCGGAAUUAUUGGGCGUAAAGGGCUCGUAGGCGGUCCAUCGCGUCGGGAGUGAAAAGCCUGGGGCUUAACCCCAGUCCUGCUUCCGAUACGGGUGGACUAGAGGUAGGUAGGGGAGAACGGAAUUCCUGGUGUAGCGGUGAAAUGCGCAGAUAUCAGGAGGAACACCGGUGGCGAAGGCGGUCUCUGGGCCUUACCUGACGCUGAGGAGCGAAAGCAUGGGGAGCAAACAGG
rnacentral:rRNA from 1 species